rnacentral:rRNA from 1 species
UACGUAGGGGGCAAGCGUUGUCCGGAAUUAUUGGGCGUAAAGCGCGCGCAGGCGGCUUCGUAAGCCCAGUGUUUAAGCUCGGAGCUCAACUCCGAUACGCACUGGGAACUGCGAGGCUUGAGUGCAGAAGAGGAAAGUGGAAUUCCACGUGUAGCGGUGAAAUGCGUAGAGAUGUGGAGGAACACCAGUGGCGAAGGCGGGUUGCUGGGCUGACACUGACGCUGAUGCGCGAAAGCUAGGGGAGCGAACGGG